rnacentral:misc_RNA from 1 species
UAAUAAGUGUUUUAUGGCACUUUUUAAAUCCAUAUCCACCUUGUGUGCAAUGUCAGUCGAUCUUCUUCAUGGAGAUCGACCAAACAUCAACCUUUAUCUUUUAACUCUUUGUCUGAAAAAUAUUAUGAAUAAACCAAUUCAAAUACAACUUUCAACAACGGAUCUCUUGGCUCUCCCAUCGAUGAAGAACGCAGCGAAAUGCGAUACGUAAUGUGAAUUGCAGAAUUCAGUGAAUCAUCGAAUCUUUGAACGCAUAUUGCGCUCUUGGUAUUCCGAAGAGCAUGCUUGUUUGAGUAUCAGUAAACACCUCAAAGCUUUUGGAUUUUUUUAAUCGAAAAGCUUUGGACUUGAGCAAUCCCAACACCAAUCUUUUUGAGAUCGGUGGCGGGUUGCUUGAAAUGCAGGUGCAGCUGGACAUUCUCCUGGGCUAAAAGCAUAUUCAUUUAGUCCCGUCAAACGGAUUAUUACUUUUGCUGCAGCUAACAUAAAGGGAGUUUGACCGUAUUGGCUGACUGAUGCAGGAUUUCACAAGGGUCGGCAACGAUUCUUGUUAAACUCGAUCUCAAAUCAAGUAAGACUACCCGCUGAACUUAAGCAUAUCAAUAAGCGGAGGAAUCGCGUACUUGGUCAUUUAGAGGAAGUAAAAGUCGUAACAAGGUUUCCGUAGGUGAACCUGCGGAAGGAUCAUUAACGAGUUUUAAUUGUUAGGUUAGAGUUGAGCUGGUUAAUCUAAUUAAUAUGUGCUUACUCUAAUCGAAACAAGUCCACUCAUUACUUAACACUUGUGAACUUAUUCAUUACAAACAUUAUUAUUUGUUAUUGGAACGUUUGAUUAUUAAAAAGUUAAUA